GUGCUCACUUCAGCACCAUAUAAACUAAAAUGGAAAUUUAGAAAAGGUCAUCAUGGCUCCUACACAAAGAUGACACCCAAAUUCAUGAAAUUUUCAACACUUUC